AUACGUCAGGUAGAGACAGGCAAGCGAAACGUCCGCGCCCACCUGACAGCUGCGCGCCACGUUUUGUCAGCC
rnacentral:sRNA from 1 species